UACCCAUCACCAGUUAGCACUAAUAAAAUGCAGCUGUUUUUUUUUUUAUUAAAAGCCUUUAAACAUGAAAGCUAGAGGGUGCAAUGUGUCAGUGUUGAGCAGAAGGAUACUGAGGUGGCAGACCGGCGGCCGGCUGGGGAGCGACCGGAGCUCCCGGCGGUAGAGACACUGAGCGCCUAGCUUGCAUGCAUUGGGGCAAGCGUCGCAAAUGGUUGAAGCAGGCCCCGGAUCCCGUUGACGAACCAGGAUAACGAAUAGCGACCCAAAUGCCUUUUCAUGGAAAGUCGCUGUUCGGAUCAGCGGUGCUAUUCAUGGGGACGGUGGGAGGUUUGCCUCCCUUGCCCGUCCGGAACCUCCGUGGAUCCGUCCAGCUCAAUUCUUCAGGUAAAUAUAGCAGUUAUCUUGCUUCCUUCAGCAAUUUAGCUUUUCUUCUCAGUAAG